rnacentral:rRNA from 1 species
GAUGAACGCUGGCGGCGUGCCUAAUACAUGCAAGUCGAGCGAACAGAUGAGGAGCUUGCUCCUCUGACGUUAGCGGCGGACGGGUGAGUAACACGUGGAUAACCUACCUAUAAGACUGGGAUAACUUCGGGAAACCGGAGCUAAUACCGGAUAAUAUAUUGAACCGCAUGGUUCAAUAGUGAAAGACGGUUUUGCUGUCACUUAUAGAUGGAUCCGCGCCGCAUUAGCUAGUUGGUAAGGUAACGGCUUACCAAGGCGACGAUGCGUAGCCGACCUGAGAGGGGGAUCGGCCACACGGGAACUGAGACACGGUCCAGACUCCUACGGGAGGCAGCAGUAGGGAAUCGUCCGCAAUGGGCGAAAGCCUGACGGAGCAACGCCGCGUGAGUGAUGAAGGUCUUCGGAUCGGAAAACUCUGUUAUUAGGGAAGAACAAAUGUGUAAGUAACUAUGCACGUCGUGACGGUACCUAAUCAGAAAGCCACGGCUAACUACGUG